rnacentral:rRNA from 1 species
AACUUUCAACAACGGAUCUCUUGGUUCUGGCAUCGAUGAAGAACGCAGCGAAAUGCGAUAAGUAAUAAGAAUUGCAGAAUUCAGUGAAUCAUCGAAUCUUUGAACGCACAUUGCGCCCUGUGGUAUUCCGCAGGGCAUGCCUGUUCGAGCGUCAUU